UCGAACGGUAACAGGUCUUCGGAUGCUGACGAGUGGCGAACGGGUGAGUAAUACAUCGGAACGUGCCCAGACGUGGGGGAUAACGAGGCGAAAGCUUUGCUAAUACCGCAUACGAUCUAAGGAUGAAAGCAGGGGACCGCAAGGCCUUGCGCGUUUGGAGCGGCCGAUGGCAGAUUAGGUAGUUGGUGGGAUAAAAGCUUACCAAGCCGACGAUCUGUAGCUGGUCUGAGAGGACGACCAGCCACACUGGGACUGAGACACGGCCCAGACUCCUACGGGAGGCAGCAGUGGGGAAUUUUGGACAAUGGGCGAAAGCCUGAUCCAGCAAUGCCGCGUGCAGGAUGAAGGCCUUCGGGUUGUAAACUGCUUUUGUACGGAACGAAAAAGCUNNUCCUAAUACCNGAGGCCCAUGACGGUACCGUAAGAAUAAGCACCGGCUAACUACGUGCCAGCAGCCGCGGUAAU
rnacentral:rRNA from 1 species